rnacentral:rRNA from 1 species
GUAAUGCCGGAUGCUCCAUCACACUGCAUGGUGUGUUGGGAAAGCCUUUGCGGCAUGGGAUGGGGUCGCGUCCUAUCAGCUUGAUGGCGGGGUAACGGCCCACCAUGGCUUCGACGGGUAGCCGGCCUGAGAGGGCGACCGGCCACAUUGGGACUGAGAUACGGCCCAGACUCCUACGGGAGGCAGCAGUGGGGAAUAUUGCACAAUGGGCGCAAGCCUGAUGCAGCGACGCCGCGUGAGGGAUGGAGGCCUUCGGGUUGUAAACCUCUUUUGUUAGGGAGCAAGGCAUUUUGUGUUGAGUGUACCUUUCGAAUAAGCACCGGCUAACUACGUGCCAGCAGCCGCGGUAAUACGUAGGGUGCAAGCGUUAUCCGGAAUUAUUGGGCGUAAAGGGCUCGUAGGCGGUUCGUCGCGUCCGGUGUGAAAGUCCAUCGCUUAACGGUGGAUCCGCGCCGGGUACGGGCGGGCUUGAGUGCGGUAGGGGAGACUGGAAUUCCCGGUGUAACGGUGGAAUGUGUAGAUAUCGGAA